rnacentral:misc_RNA from 1 species
AAACUGCGAUAAGUAGUGUGAAUUGCAUUUAGUGAAUCAUCGAAUCUUUGAACGCACCUUGCACUCACUGGUAUUCCGGUGAGUACGCCUGUUUCAGUAUCAUUGAAAACACACAAUCAAAACAUUUUCUUUGGUUUGAUUGGCUUUGGGUCUAUCAAAAAGUUUGGCUUGUUUCUUACAAGCCAAGCGGCCUGAAAUCUAUUGUCUGGCUAAUUGCAUCGUUGAUGAUCGCUAUUAGACUUUGGCUUUUUUAAAUGAACUGGAGGUUGAUUAACCAGUUUUAGCUUUAGUCAAAUGGUCAUUGUAAAAAAAAUCUCUAUCUUGGCUAGGUGUUUAUAGCCGAAAAUUUUUUUUUGGCUAUAACCGAAACCAAUAUAAUCACAUUUAGUUAUCGAUCUGAAAUCAGGUGGGACUACCCGCUGAACUUAAGC